ensembl:lncRNA
UUUUUUCAGGACCAAGUGGAAGCGGCAGACCGCGGUGGGCCUGGAGCUGCUGGCUGAGGCAGGGAAUUACUCGGCACUGCAGAGGAUGUUUCCAUCGCCUUAUUUCUACCACCCAAGCCUGCUGGGCAGCAUGGACAGCACGACCGCGGCGGCGGCCGCUGCCGCCAUGUACAGCAGCAUGUACCGGACUCCUCCCGCGCCCCAUCCCCAGCUGCAGCGGCCCCUGGUGCCCCGAGUGCUCAUCCACGGCCUGGGGCCCGGGGGACAGCCGGCCCUCAACCCCUUGUCCAACCCCAUCCCAGGUACCCCGCACCCCCGGUGAAGAGCGAGCCUGCAGACCCUCCCUGUCCCCUCCCUGACCAGGACAGCUGCCCCUCCUCUCCCCCAACCAGGCAGUCUGCCCUCCCUUGCAGUCUACCAGGAAGUAAAGAAGUGAGAGAGGAAGAUGCUCAGCAGUGGGCGGGGGUCCCCCCGAAAGUGCCAGCCCUCCGCACUUCAUCUCCCCACCCCCAGAGACAGGGCUGGAAAGCUCCCCCACAGCAGUGUGACUGGCGAAAAUGCUGACCCCACACAGAGUGCGACCAGGCUCCUCUCAGCGGUGAGGGUCCGGAACGCUGGGCAGCAGAGACGCCGGCAGGAGCUGGGCGGUGGGCGGGCAGACGUGCGGGCCGCGCAGCUGUUCUUCAGCCCGAGGCCGGCGCCCGCGUGGUGGGACAGCCUGCAAGCAGGAGGCUGUAGGGCGCGCAAUUAGGGUGCCCCAGGGACUCGGAGAGGCCUGGCUAACAAACCCUGGUUGUGCUUUGAUCCCUGCCUUCUUGUUCCCCGGCGGGCAUCCAACCCCUAGCCCCGCACCGAGCCUCUUGCCCUGGUGAGUUGGCUGUGAUGGGAUGCCUAGAGCGGAAUGCAACUCUGGCCCAGACAGGUGUGCUGAGCUUUUUAUGCGCGUCCCUGGAUCGUUGGGGACCACUAAAUAAGAGGCCAGAGGAUAGUGUAGGUCAGCUGCUUGUUUUGGGAGUGUGUAUCAGUGUGUGAGAACCGGUGUGUAAUACUCUUAGCACCUUGGCCAGAGCCUCACCUCAUCCAGAGCCUGACCUCAGCCCUAGACCUCCCUCCCUUACUAGCUCCCAAGAGGCUGAGCACUCCCGACUAGGGGAGGCAGAACUGAAAGGGGAUGGUUGUACUCUUCUGGGGCUACUCCCACCUUCUCCAGGCUGGAGGUCACUUCUCCCAUUGUCAGAGAGUUGAAUCCCCAUCUGGGCAUCUUCACAUCUCUGUCUUCACUCUGGCCCUAGUAUGUAGUCAAAGGAGUAAGACUUGCAGCUAAAACACAUCCAGACCCAUUUUCCAACUUUCUCUGAUGUUUGAAUCUUAGUAGAGUUAUAAAAACAUUUUUUUAAAAUGUGGAGUGCUGUGGGAGUGUGUGUUGGGGAGGAGUGGGAAAGAAGAAGGAAAGAGGUGAAAUCCAGGAAGAAAUUGCCUUGGGCACCUCGAUCAGACUUUGGCUAAUUAGGGAGUGAUUUAUCUCCAGCUCAUCAGUUUGCUUUAAAAAUGGUCGUGGUCUUGUUUGAUUCUAACAAAAGGGUCUGGACUGGCCCUUCUCAUUUUCUUCCCGCUGAGCCGGUACAAACUCAAACAGCUGGGCUAGGCUGGAAACUGGGCACCACUGUGUCUAGUGGGAAUGCCCAUUGCCUGGACAGUCAGCAGACUCUCCUUGUUCUAUCUUAGCUGCUGUUGGAUUUUACAAUCAUGUU